rnacentral:rRNA from 1 species
GAGUUGAUCAUGGCUCAGGAUGAACGCUAGCGACAGGCUAACACAUGCAAGUCGAGGGGCAUCACGGGAGUAGCAAUACAACUGGUGGCGACCGGCGCACGGGUGAGUAACGCGUAUGCAACCUACCGUAUCAGAGGGGAAUAACCCGGCGAAAGUCGGACUAAUACCGCAUAAAACAGGGGCACCGCAUGGUGAUAUUUGUUAAAGAAAUUCGCUGAUAGAUGGGCAUGCGUUCCAUUAGGUAGUUGGUGAGGUAACGGCUCACCAAGCCGACGAUGGAUAGGGGAACUGAGAGGUUGGUCCCCCACACUGGUACUGAGACACGGACCAGACUCCUACGGGAGGCAGCAGUGAGGAAUAUUGGUCAAUGGGCGGGAGCCUGAACCAGCCAAGUCGCGUGAAAGGAAGAAGGAUCUAUGGUUCGUAAACUUCUUUUGCAGGGGAAUAAAGUGCAGGACGUGUCCUGUUUUGUAUGUACCCUGAGAAUAAGGAUCGGCUAACUCCGUGCCAGCAGCGGC